rnacentral:rRNA from 1 species
GGAUGCGAUCAUACCAGCACUAAAGCAUCGGAUCCCAUCAGAACUCCGAAGUUAAGCGUGCUUGGGCGAGGGUAGUACUAGGAUGGGUGACCUCCUGGGAAGUCCUUGUGUUGCAUUCC